rnacentral:tmRNA from 1 species
GGGGGUGAAUGGUCUCGACUGCGGUCGGGUGACCAGGGGAAGCGAGCCGAGGAAGCCGACGAUGAGCUCGUUAACCACGCGUCGGAAAACACACAAGCGCCGACAAGAGUCAGCGCGCGUACGCCCUCGCUGCCUGACAGCGAGUGUGACGCUGUCAGCCCGGGUUCGGUCAUCGACCCGGUGUCUGGCAUCAGCUAGAUGACUCACCGUGCGUGCCGGUCGCGGGCGUGCACGGGACACCUCACAGCGACUGGGCCUGUCAUCUCGACGUGUUCGCGCGAUCGGGAGGGCCGAGCAGAGGCAGAGCGGACUGCGCUCGGAGAAGCCCUGGUGAUGCGUCGCAGGACGCGGGUUCGAUUCCCGCCACCUCCACCC